GCAAUAAUAGCUUAAAAUAGAGCAUUGGUUUUGUAAACCAAAGGUGAAAUAAAAUAUUCUUGUUGCU
rnacentral:tRNA from 1 species